rnacentral:rRNA from 1 species
GGUCGAUCCUGCCAGUAGUCAUAUGCUUGUUUCAAGGAUUAAGCCAUGCAUGUGUUCGAAUAAGCUUUAGUUUUGUGAAUCUGCGAAUGGCUCAUUAAAAAUGUCUUAAUUUACGCUGGGGGUUUGUGCUACAUGGAUAUCUGUAGUAAUUCUAGAGUUAAUACGUGGCUGAUGAGGGGGGGGUGACCCUUCCUGGAGCUUGUCUGAUACCAAAGUCGACUUUUUGUUGAUGAUUCAAGAUAAUUUGGAGGUAGGCGAACUACCGAGACUCGGACCGCAUGGCCUUGCGCCGGCGGCGCCCAGCCCGAGAGUCAUCCCCAUCAACUAGUUGAGAGUGUAUUGUACUCCCAAGGUGGUGACGGGUAACGGAGGAUUAGGGUUUGAUUCCGGAGAGGGGGCUUGAGAAUUGGCCACCACAUCUAAGGAAGGCAGCAGGCGCGCAAAUUCCCCAAUUCUAAUACAGAGAGGGAGCGACAAACAGUAUUGAAGAGAUGGAGCAAUCUGUUUCUAUCGGAAUGAGGGCGGAGUAGACAACCGCCCGAGAAGCCACUGGAGGGCAAGUCUGGUGCCAGCAGCCGCGGUAAUUCCAGCUCCAGUAGUGUAUAUUAAAGUUGUUGCAGUUAAAAAGCUCGUAGUUGAAGUUUGGGGCUGGUCGAGGGGUUGCUGGGGCUGUAAAAGGUCCCCUUCUCCUUGGCCUCUUCAAAUGGGCGGUUGGGUCUCUGAUCCUUCCGCCAUUGUACCUCGAAUAAAUUAGAUUGUUCAAGGAAGGCCAUUUGGCUGGAAUAUUUUAGCAUGGAAUAGCGAAACAGGGCUUUGGGGACAAGCUUGGUCGGCUUUGUUUGUCUCUAGCAAUGAUGGAUAGGGGUGGGGGGGGGCGUGGGUAUUGGGCAGCUAGAGGUGAAAUUCUUAGAUUUGCUCAAGACCAACACAAGCGAAAGCUCUCGCCAACUACAUCCCCAUUAAUCAAGAACGAAAGAUGAGGGAUCGAAGAUGAUUAGAUACCGUCGUAGUCUCAUCAGUAAACGAUGACGUCCGACCGUUUGAGGGUGGUUUUUUUCUAAAUAGCCCCCUUAAGCGGUUCAGAGAAAUCGAAAGACUUUGGCCUCUGGGGGGAGUAUGGUCGCAAGACUGAAACUUAAAGGAAUUGACGGAAGGGCACCACCAGGAGUGGAGUUUGCGGCUUAAUUUGACCCAACACGGGAAAACUUACCAGGUCCGGACAUUUGAAGGAUUGACAGGUUGAAGCCCUUUCAAGAUUAGAUGGCAGGUGGUGCAUGGCCGUUCUUAGUUGGUGGUGUGAACUGUCUGCCUAAUUGCGAUAACGAACGAGACCAUUACAAGUCGUU